UACGUAGGUGGCAAGCGUUGUUCGGAAUUAUUGGGCGUAAAGGGCGCGUAGGCGGUUUGACAAGUCUGAUGUGAAAUCUCUGGGCUCAACCCAGAGUCUGCAUUAGAAACUGUCGGGCUUGAGUAUGGGAGAGGUGAGUGGAAUUUCCGGUGUAGCGGUGAAAUGCGUAGAUAUCGGAAGGAACACCUGUGGCGAAAGCGGCUCACUGGACCAUAACUGACGCUGAGGCGCGAAAGCUAGGGGAGCAAACAGG
rnacentral:rRNA from 1 species